CGCGUAGGCGGUGAUGUAAGUCAGAUGUGAAAACCAUCGGCUUAACCGAUUGGAUUGCAUUUGAUACUGCAUCACUUGAGUUCAGUAGAGGAGAGUGGAAUUCCCAGUGUAGCGGUGGAAUGCGUAGAUAUUGGGAAGAACACCAGUGGCGAAGGCGGCUCUCUGGACUGAUACUGACGCUGAGGCGCGAAAGCUAGGGGAGCGAACA
rnacentral:rRNA from 1 species